rnacentral:rRNA from 1 species
AUUGAACGCUGGCGGAAUGCUUUACACAUGCAAGUCGAACGGCAGCACGGACUUCGGUCUGGUGGCGAGUGGCGAACGGGUGAGUAAUGUAUCGGAACGUGCCCAGUCGUGGGGGAUAACGUAGUGAAAAUUACGCUAAUACCGCAUACGAUCUAUGGAUGAAAGCGGGGGACCGCAAGACCUCGCGCGAUUGGAGCGGCCGAUAUCAGAUUAGGUAGUUGGGGGGGUAAAGGCCCACCAAGCCAACGAUCUGUAGCUGGUCUGAGAGGACGACCAGCCACCCGGGAACUGAGACACGGUCCAGACUCCUACGGGAGGCAGCAGUGGGGAAUUUUGGACAAUGGGCGAAAGCCUGAUCCAGCCAUUCCGCGUGCAGGAUGAAGGCCCUCGGGUUGUAAACUGCUUUUGUACAGAACGAAAAGGUUUCUACUAAUACUAGGAGCUCAUGACGGUACUGUAAGAAUAAGCACCGGCUAACUACGUGCCAGCCGCCGCCGUAA